rnacentral:rRNA from 1 species
GGUCAAGAAGAGAAGCGCAAACGGUGGAUGCCUUGGCAGUAAGAGGCGAAGAAGGACGUGGAAUCCUGCGAAAAGCUAUGGGGAGCUGGAAACGAGCGUUGAGCCAUAGAUGUCCGAAUGGGGGAACCCGGCUGCAGCGAUGCGGUCAUUUGCAUUUGAAUACAUAGGAUGCAAAGGCGAACUCGGGGAACUGAAACAUCUAAGUACCCGAAGGAAAAGAAAUCAAGAGAGAUUCUCCAAGUAGCGGCGAGCGAACGGGGAGGAGCCUGGCGUGAUUUAUUAUUGAACUGAGUAGAACAAUUUGGGAAAGUUGGCCGUAGAGGGUGAAAGCCCCGUAUACGAAGGUUUGAUGAGGAACUAGGCACGCGAGCAAGUAGGCCGGGACACGUGAAAUCCUGGUUGAAGAUGGGUGGACCAUCAUCCAAGGCUA